AGGAACAAAACAAAAAGGAGGGCAAAAAAUUGGAACUAGAAAAAUUCAGAGACGCGACACUGAGAAACAGCCCCAACAGCCCGGCUCGCAGGCUCCAUGUGGGAUGCACAUAAAUUGCAAGCUGUAGGACCUCUUUCCCAGAAGAAAAUUCGCCCGGAGAGUAGUGUGGAAGAGCGGAAGAGAACGACAGCCAGCCAGCAAGUCGAACCUGAAUAGGUUUCCACCGCCAGAGUCCAUAGAUCAGAGCCCCCUUCAGGGUGUCUGCGCCCAGAUGAUGACGAUGAUGCUGGGGAUGAUGGCGAUGUCGCCGCAAGGACGCCUCAAGAUGCAGUCACACUCCAAGGAGCAGGGGGCAAGAUGCGGACCCGCACGGUGGGUUGCGCAAUACAUUACAUGGAGUGUUGGGAACACCGGAGCAAGCUCUUGAACCAGCCCAGCCACGCCCAUUACUAACAGAUCCUGGUCAUGUCAGCUACGCUUUUGAUGUGCAGCCAAGAGGCAACGUCUACCACUAUCGAAAUCAAAUGCACACAUGCGACUUUAAAUGCAGUAAAAACAUGAAAAAUGAUUUCGUCAAGAUAGAACGCUUAGUCGAGCACCUUGACUAUCAGAUACCCGUUACUUAACUAAGAAGAGCGCGACGGAAAGGGACUUCGUAACUAGUGAAGUGGUAUAAUAUAGUCAGAAAAGAUACUUAGCAGAAAUAGUUCAUAUUAAUUAUUUCUUUUACCUUAAAAUGUCAUAAGUGAUUUAAAGAAUUACCUCUCCAUAAUAAGUAAAUUUCGGACGAACUGUAAACAAUAACGAACAUAUUUGGAAAUAAAAACAAAUCAAGCUAUAUGAAAUAUUAAAUGCCUGCUGUAAGCGAAAAUUCUAAACCUACAAGCAAACAAACUGCGGCACAAAACAAGCAAGCGGAGGGAAAUGCGCCAGGCGACAAUUUCUAAUUACGAAUUCGCCAGAACACUUAACCCGUUUUUACCGGACAUACACGUACCCAGGCGUCCAGUACAAUUUCCAUAGCUAAACAUAUACCAAACACCUUUCAGACAACAGCAAAGAGUCACAGGGGAUGGAAUUGGGGUAUAAAGUCAUGUUUUGAUUGCUGGACGGAAAAAGUUACCAUUUUGCCAGAAGUCCGGGCCGAUCUUAAGUAUGUAUGUACUCUUAGUCGACUUACUCUGCGCAGGAACAUUUAACAAAACUCAAUGUACUAUUAUUAAAUCCUUCUUGAUAAUAGAAUUUAACAGAGCAGUGCAACGAAACGUUACCCCCAAUUUCUGAUGCUACCGUCAUUGUAUCUAUGAAUAUAACAAAUUUUGUGUUUUGAAAUAUGAAUCCCAGUAUACCAUUUACACCCUACAAUUACCAGGGACUUAAAAAAAGCUCAGCUUGCUACAUUUUAUGCUGAUCCCUGUCAGGCAACAAAACACACAUAAUCUGCAAAAAGGAUAACAACAGGGUGGGGACUGAACGAGAGAAAAGAAAAGUGCCAGAGCACCGGGGAAGGAUGAACAAACAAAAUAUUUAUGUCUCCAACACACCUUGAAAAACACAGACGAUAAACGUGGAGCAAGCCCAAAGGAUUCGGAAAGGCGUGGCAUAGAUCCUGGUGGGUUUUAUGCUUCGCUCCAUGCAAAGUACAGGCAACAAACAUCAACCAAUAAUGCAGACGCGAUUAUGUCCAACCAGAAGCAAAAAUAGUUAUGGGCAACAGAAGGACAACUCCGACUUUGAAUGUGAAGUUGACGCUAGAAUAGCAGGACAUUCGCAUACAGAAAGGAUUGGGAUUGCUUUUCACAGACACACACUUUUUGAGGAAGCUGCACUCUCACAAUCACCAAAAAAUUAAAAACAAACAAAACACGGUGGGAACGUCGAGUGGCGAGUAUGGAAAAAAGAAAGGACCUCGAAAAGCAGAGACCUGAGAGGCAGCUGCAAAAAACGAAAGUGUUGCACAAUGGGCGUUGCUUCAGGUCUUCUGCACACUCAAAAACCUGCCUCCAACCACUCUCUUCUAGGAGGGACACUCACCAACACUGUCCUCUGAUUUAUGCCACCGACGACCAAUUUUUUACACUGUAAAAAUGAAAACAGCUAAAAUAUACAGAAUAUUUAAAAGUUGUAAUGCAUUUAAAA